rnacentral:lncRNA from 1 species
UUUUUUUUUUGUUCAAGAUAUUGUUUUGUUAUUAUUAAUAAUUAAAAAAAAAUGAAAUAGAAAAAUUAAAAUAAAUCAGAAUGAAAAUAGAAAGGAGAAACAGAGACCAGUUGUUAGCGUUUGGAGAUUUAGAAACAGAGACUCGGAUUUAGAGAGAUCGAAGAUGAGAAAAUAGCAAGCGACAUGAGAAUUGAGUUUGUGGUAGCAGACAAGAACAGAUCCACGUUCAAGGAAAAAGAUGUGAAAGAAGAAAAUUAGAACUAAAUAUGGACUUGCAGUCUCACAGAGAAAGAGAAAGAAGAAAAAUGCAGUGCAUAGAAAUAAAGGAAAAGUGAAGUUAGAUAGAAGAGGCGGCUGCAAAACAUGUAGCAAAUAUUAUAUCUACAGUUUAGGGUUUGUAACUUUGUAUAACAUGGUUUGAGCUUUUUUAAUACAUGAAUUCAAAAUAGCCCAAUUUAGUUGUCGUUCAUUUUUUCAAUAUACAAAAUUAGAUGUCUUCUAAAUCAUAUGAUC